UGGUCAAGUUAUUAAGGGUGCAGGGCGGAUGCCUUGGCACUAGGAGCCGAUGAAGGACGUGAUAAGCUGCGAUAAGCUUCGGGGAGUUGCACGUAAACUUUGAUCCGAAGAUUUCCGAAUGAGGAAACUCACUUAGAGUAAUGUCUAAGUAUCAUUAAGUGAAUACAUAGCUUAAUGAGGGGAACUCAGGGAACUGAAACAUCUAAGUACCUGAAGGAAGAGAAAGAAAUUCGAUUCCGUAAGUAGCGGCGAGCGAACGCGGAUUAGCCCAAACCAAUAAAGUUUUCUUUAUUGGGGUUGCGGACAUAUCAUAACGAAGAGGUAUCGUAAUUGAAGAGGUUUGGAAAGACCCACCACAGAAGGUAAUAGUCCUGUAUGUUAAACGAGAAGACUUUAGAUAUGAUCCAGAGUACCACGGGACACGUGAAACCCUGUGGGAAG
rnacentral:rRNA from 1 species